GAUGAAGAACGUAGUGAAAUGCGAUAAGUAAUGUGAAUUGCAGAAUUCAGUGAAUCAUCGAAUCUUUGAACGCACAUUGCGCCCCCUGGUAUUCCGGGGGGCAUGCCUGUUCGAGCGUCAUUUCACCACUCAAGCCUCGCUUGGUAUUGGGCAACGCGGUCCGCCGCGUGCCUCAAAUCGACCGGCUGGGUCUUCUGUCCCCUAAGCGUUGUGGAAACUAUUCGCUAAAGGGUGUUCGGGAGGCUACGCCGUAAAACAACCCCAUUUCUAAGGUUGACCUCGGAUCAGGUAGGGAUACCCGCUGAACUUAUCAUAUCAAUAAGCGGAGGA
rnacentral:misc_RNA from 1 species